UACGUAGGUGGCAAGCGUUGUCCGGAAUUAUUGGGCGUAAAGGGCGCGUAGGCGGCCUUCUAAGUCAGAUGUGAAAUCCCUGGGCUUAACCCGGGUCGUGCAUUUGAAACUGGAAGGCUUGAGUGCAGGAGAGGAAAGUGGAAUUCCUAGUGUAGCGGUGAAAUGCGUAGAUAUUAGGAGGAACACCAGUGGCGAAGGCGACUUUCUGGACUGUAACUGACGCUGAGGCGCGAAAGCGUGGGGAGCAAACAGG
rnacentral:rRNA from 1 species